AUGGCCAGAGGGGAAGGUUUAGAACCAGAAGAUAUUGGCUAAAGCUGCAGCAAGAAGGACCCUGGUCAGACAGCAACAGGACUUUCUGAAUGGUGGAGCAUGUGCAGCACACCUGAAGGAUUGAUAAAACCUACUCCCAUCAACGGCAGUGGCUCAGCACAGCAGUGAUCUUCACAGGGCUGGAGAAGCGCCAUAUCAAGCACAACCUUCUGGACUCACUCUGCACUUCAGUAGGCCUUACCCCAACAGCAGAGGAGCAG
rnacentral:lncRNA from 1 species